AGAGGAUGUUUUUAUUCCUGGGAAACUUCCUGGUGUCACUUGUGUAAAAGACAAGUUAACUUUUAACUGUAGUUAAGGACAGAAUUGGCCAAUCAGAGUCUUGUACAUAUCUCUGAGUUAACUAGGAUUUAACUAUAAUGUAGUUAUAGAGUUUUAUAUUACCGGUCCCUGAUGUAUUUCCUUUUUGUGCUGAGUUUUGUUUGAGAAUUGCCCUUGAGGUUAAUUAUAACAACCAAGGGCCGGUUGUAUGAAAGCCGGAUAGCGCUAUCCACCGAAUAGUGGUUUUUUCAACCGUUCUAAAAAUGCUCGAAAAGCGAUAAAAUUUCAGCAUCGUAACCAACAAUUAUUAAAGAUGAUCCUCGAUUAAGGAAUACAAGAUUUAAUCAAAGUUACACUAAAAAACGGGCGAUUUUAAAGCGAUUGAAAAAAUCACUAUCUGGUGGAUAGCGCUAUCCGGUUUUCAUACAACCGGCCCCAUUUCUAUAGCCAAUCUCUUACCCAGACCGUAAAUCAAAUGACUCUGCAUGGGAACGAGAUUGAGUUAUGGUGUGCGUUUAGCCCUAACCUGCAUGGCUACGGUGCAUUAAAUGCGAUACUCGUAACUCGUAUACAGUCACUUUUUUGCAUUCCGUACACAUUCAUAACCGAUUCAUUGGUCCUGGUAAUAAGAUCACAAUUGACCAUAUUUGUGACCAGGUCAUCUGCUCUGCAUGGUGGCAACCAACUUCAUAGGUUAGUUCUGGGGCAUGCGCACUCUCAAAGCGUUCUUUUAGUCUUAUCUUGCCGAAAAUCUGACCCAGAUCCCAACAUUAAGAGCAACAAUAUACCUGUAAAAUCUCUGUCAAUAAUAGUUAGGUACUGACGGGUGUUCAAGAAUAAAAGAUCAGAUAUAUGACAGAUAAUAACGACGAAUCGCGACAUUUAAGGAUAAUGUGAAUUCGCUUUGGAAAAAUGAUGUCAACCAGGACGCAGUUUGCACUCUUUUUUAUCGCCUUUCUACUUAUUUCCUGGGACGUCUCGUGCAAGAAAAAAACAGGUAUUAAGAAGAAGCCAAUUUUUUUUGGUCGUCAUCAUCCAGAUUUCAUAUACUGCAUGGACAACAAUUUGUUCCCGAGGUUCUUCAAGUCAAUUUGUCCUGGCAAAGGAGAAAAAUGGCUGGCUACCAGAAAGAAAGUACAAAAAAAACUUAUCAAUCCUCUGUUGAAGCAAGACACAGCAAACAGUUUUGUUAAAAAAGUCGGAGUUUCAAAGUCAUCUCCAUCGGAUGAUAUUUAUGUUCAAGAAGACUUUUACAAUGCAUAUCGUGAGGAAUGUUGCACUAAAGGAUGCAGACUUGAGGAAGCCCUGGAGUUCUGCAAUACAUUGACUUGACUGUCUUGAUAUGCUGACAGCGCAUUUGCAAAGUAUGACGUGUUUGCAUGCAGGCAGCUGUCAGCUUUCACAUUUGCCGGCUUCAUGCGUUGUAAGAGAUUGUUUUAUAUAUGAAUUUUUUCGCCGCAUUGAUUUACUGCCGACUUGUUCCCAGUUUGACAUGUGGUGAAGAUACAAUCUUGGACCUAUAAUACAGUUAAUUAAAGAAAUGUUAAAAAUCAAGUUUCCGUGGCACCCGUGCGGCGUUCAUUUAAUGAUUACCGAAAUUUUGACGAUUGUAGCCAUAGCACCUGGACAUGCAAAUAAAAAAUUUCAAAUAUCGGUAAGCGUAUUUGACCAAAACUAACAGCUGCUAAUGUUUGAUUUGGCCACUUGUUGAGAAUGUUCGUGAUAAGAAUUCCUUUUAGUAUUCACACCUUUACAUUUCCUGUUAUUGAGUAUAUAUUGCAAGAUGGUCAUAGAAGGAACAGUAGAUGUCUGCACCCAUUGCACGCGAGUCCAAAGGCUGCACAGCAAAGGUUCAAAGGCUAAUAUAAUAUCAAAGUAUUUUAUUGCUACAACUACAAGGUUAGAGCCUAUAUAUAAAGAUUUCAAAGCAAGGACGAGGAUAAGUAAAGCCCACCGGAAACUUCUAUCGUUUUUCUUAACA
rnacentral:lncRNA from 1 species